rnacentral:lncRNA from 1 species
CCUGUUUUUGGCUUUGCUGAGGGCUUCAUCUAAUUCCUCCUUACUAUAGACCGUUCACUGUCUUUCCCUGCAAAUUCCACCACAACUAGCCUGUUUUUGGCUUUGCUAAGGGCUUCGUCUAAUUCCUCCUUACUAUUCACUUUUACCACUCUUUCAUCUUUGUUUGCUUUUUUCUCAACACCUGAUGCUGCUGUAGCCUUUGUAAUUAAUAAAGAUCUUUUUGUUCUCAGGUUUGUGAAUUUCUCGAAUGAUUGAUUAGUAGGAACAUCUGUAGCCUUUGUAAUUAAUAAAGAUCUUUUUGUUCUCAGGUUUGUGAACUUGUCGAAUGAUUGAUUAGUAGGAAAAUUGCAGUAAAAUGAAGGGCUAAUUUUUGUAAUAGAAACUAGAUCUGGAGAUGGUUUGAGCAAAAAAUUACCAAGGGUAGCCAUACUGGACAGAAUUAUAGUAAAAUUUUCAAGAAAUGAACACUGAGGAAGAAGGAAGUAGAAAAUUGGAUAAAAAGAAAGAGAAAGGAAAUCCAAGUUAAGAUGAGGCUGACCCUAUUGGAGAUCUAUAAACACAUCCACUUGAUAGGCUUUGGUACAAUUUCAACCACAUAUAGAAAGAGGAUAUCAACUUAUCAACCACUUUCUCUACAUUUUUUUUGCUUCUUUUGUUGUCUUUAUGUGUGAUAUUCGUUGCAAUCAAUUUCUUGAUUUCCUAUUCGGUGUCAGAUAUUUUUAUGGAGGAAAUUAAACUUGAAUUUAUUCCGGAAAGUCCUAUAUUGGGAUAAAGUAUUCUUUAAUUAAGAUACUCUAGAUACAAAAUUUAAAUUUAAAAUUUUUGAUUAAUAACGAAGAAGUACUUAUCCCUCCACCAUAACCGUGAUAUUCUUUGUCAUCUUAAAAUAUCAUGAAAAGAGAUUUGAUUGGUAAUUGGUCUUAUUUAAAGAUUUUUAUUGGUUUAUGUACACUUUUCUUUCACAGAUACGUUUGUUAUAUGUGGUCUGUGGACAAUCUAAUUGAUAUUUUUCAGUUACCUGAUAACAAAGCAAUCACCUCCUCCAAUUUUAUAAAUUUAGUUAGACAUGACAUAUUUAUUUUAGACUUAAAAUGUAUAAUUAAUUAUUUUGUUGUCUUAAGUAAUAGAAAUUGAUAAAAUAAUUUAAGAAAAAUGCACACCGUGUGAACCAAAUCCAUGAUGGAACAUCCCUCCGUCUCAUAUCACACUAUUAGAAAUUUGUUAAAUACCAAUCAAAUAAAUCGAUCAAUUUUUAUUGGUUAUGGCUAAUUACCGACCAAAAUGCGGCUAUAAACGGGUGGACGGUUAUUUGAUGGUCGAAAUGGAUUACCGACCAAUGUUAGUCGGUAGCUUAAAGCGAUCAUCUGACAAUUUAAAUGAUUUAACAAUCAAUUUUGAUCGAAAAUAUAUUUUAUUAAUUUAAUUUUAACAAUUAAAGUUGGUCGAUGUAUUUAAUUUAUAUUUUUAGCGGAUUUCUAGUAGUGUUAUGUGCCGUGUUUUCUUUUUCGCGUCCCUUAAGAAAUACUAAUUAGAAAAGAGGUUAGACUAUUCUACUUUUAUUUAUGCAUUAAGAUAUAAUUCUUCAUUGAAUAUUUAUUCUAUUUAUCUCUAUCUUCAAAAAUAGUUAUUAUAAUGGGUAAAAAGAAAAAAAACAGUUAAUUAUAUUUUAAACUUUUAAAUAUUUAAGUAACCAUAAUUAUUAGUAUGAGACGGAAGCAGUAAGUAUUUAAGUAUAUUUUUGGAGGAUUUAGUUGGAUUGGGUAAGAAGCCCGAAGUACAUGAAAUAUUAUUUCCAACAGGCCAAUUUCAAUUACAGAGCCCAAAAGCCAGCUUUAUUGGAUCUAUCAAUGACCGUAAUUUUGAAUUAGCCACAUAAAACAAUGUGUGGUUGGUAGAAAGGGAUUUUUACCUUUUCUAUAUUAUAUAUGAAACUUUAUUACCCUUAAUAUUUAAGAUUUGUGUUAAUUAUAUUUUAGUAUACCAAAUUACUCUUUAUAUACUAUAAUUUAAAUUAGAAAAUAAUUAAGGGUGUAUUUAUAUUAAGCAUAAUUAUAGGACAGUAUCUUCCCACUUCUCCUACCCUCCCUCCACACGUUUUGCCUUUACCCAUAACCCCCUAUCCCCCCAUAUUUCUGUUUUGAAUUUCACCAUUGACCCCAAUUAAAAAGUUUUGAAGCUUUGAAUUCAAAUUGGACUUUUCAAAAAAUCAUUAUUUGUUUUGAUUGGGUGUAGUUGUAAAUAAUAUGGAAUAUGUUUAGGAGUUUAUAUCUCAAUGUUGAGGGGUUUUGGUGAAGAUUUAGACUUGAUUUUGGUUAAAUUUUAUAUUGAAACUCGAAGAAGAAGACAUAAUUCCAGAAUUUGUAGAUAAAUUGUAGUCAAAUUAGAAAAAUUGUAGAUAAAAUAUAGACUGUUUUUUUGCAAAAGAUUUUGUAGAAGCUUUGGUCAUUUUGGAUUUAUGAAAACAGAAAACAAUGCAUCUACAAUCAGAAUACAAAUAAUCUACAAUUUAUCCACAAGAUAUCUACAAACUGGAUACAUUAAAUUUUAAUAUCCCAAUUUUCAUUUUAAUUGUAGCAUAAUUGGCAUUUUCGACAUAAUUGUAGAAGAUUUGUAAAAGUUUUAGUCUUCCCAAUCUACAAUUUAUCUACAAUUUUAUAAUUUAUCUACAAUUUCUGAAAAUAUUUCUUCUUCUUCUUCUUCUUCUUCUUCUUCUUCUUCUUCUUCUUCUUCUUCUUCUUCGAGUUUCAAUAUGAAAUUCAGUUAAAAUCAAGUAUAAUCUUCACCAAAACCCUUCAAAAUUGAGAUAUAACUUCAAACUAUAUUCUCGAUUAUUUUCAACAACACCCAAUCCAAACAAAUAAUGAUUUUUGAAAACUCAAAUUUGAAUUCAAAACUUUCAAGAUUUUUAAUGGUUAUCAAUGGUGAAAAAUAUAUGGAAGAACAGAUGAAGAUGAAGAUGAAGAUGAAGAACAUAAAUCUCCUUUCCGUUCCAAAAUUAUGCAGCUUCCAGAUCUCUUUUCCAUUUUAUAUUUCGAAUUUAAUAUGGAAUAAAUCAAUCCCAGAUUUUGUGGCACUUUUCGCGCGUUAUAAAUGGCAGAUUCUUCCUAAUUAACAAUUGGUAUAUAAAUUGUAGUUAAAGUGUGGACUCGGAGGGUAAUAUACAAACUACGCACAUUUUUAGUAAUAAGGUUUCAUAUAUGGUAUAGUUAGGAAAAAAUCCCAAAAAAUAGAACAUUUUAGUGCUACUCUCGAUUAUUUUAUUAUAUUUGCGCCCAUGGACAAAACUUUAAGUAUAACAAGUAUUGCUUCUUGUUUGUCCCAUAAAAAAAUCUUUUAACCUUAAAGAUUUUCUACGAGGCAAGCGAGAUCAAAAAAUCAAAACAAUUCAUUUUAAAGGUCAUUGGAUAUAAUUUCCUAAAAAAUUAUUGUCUUAGCCUAUCUUCCAAACCAGUGGGUCUAUCCUGAAUUUUGACUUGUAGACAUUGGCAAGUCCGAAAUUAAAAUGUGAUUCUUUUGGACUCAAUAUAAUUUUUUAGGUGAAAAACAAUAGUUUUAUAUAAAACGUAGUUAUGAUCUACGUUUUACCUUAACGGCCGUUUGGGACGUUAAGGUAAAGCGUGAUUUGUUACUGCAUUUUAUAUAAAACGCGUUAAUGAAUCUCGCUUUACCUAGAAGUUGAUAAGACGGCUAUACAAAGCGCGGUUCAUUAUUGUGUUUUAUAUAAACGUAGUAACAAAUCGUGCUUUAAAUGUUUAAAUAAUUGUUCCCAUCCCUUUUCCUCACGUUCUGCACAAAUUCNNNNNNNNNNNNNNNNNNNNNNNNNNNNNNNNNNNNNNNNNNNNNNNNNNNNNNNNNNNNNNNNNNNNNNNNNNNNNNNNNNNNNNNNNNNNNNNNNNNNNNNNNNNNNNNNNNNNNNNNNNNNNNNNNNNNNNNNNNNNNNNNNNNNNNNNNNNNNNNNNNNNNNNNNNNNNNNNNNNNNNNNNNNNNNNNNNNNNNNNNNNNNNNNNNNNNNNNNNNNNNNNNNNNNNNNNNNNNNNNNNNNNNNNNNNNNNNNNNNNNNNNNNNNNNNNNNNNNNNNNNNNNNNNNNNNNNNNNNNNNNNNNNNNNNNNNNNNNNNNNNNNNNNNNNNNNNNNNNNNNNNNNNNNNNNNNNNNNNNNNNNNNNNNNNNNNNNNNNNNNNNNNNNNNNNNNNNNNNNNNNNNNNNNNNNNNNNNNNNNNNCCCCCCCCCCCCCCAACCCUAAAAAAAUUACAGAGGUCCUUCCCCUCCAACGACGACCUAAAAAGCUCGUGCGGACCCCUGUCGUCCCAUAAAGAGUAGAUAUUAUUGGUCCCACAUCCUAGUAAAGCCUUUUAUUGGUGUGGGUUGCUUGUUUCUUAGUUAAAUUUUUAAAUUUUCAACUUUCCGAAAAGUAUAAAUCGACGUAUACCAAUUUAGUUUAUGUCCAAACUCAUAUAGAUAAUGCAUAUAAGUUUAUUUGAAUGUCUUGUAUGUUGUUUUGUAUUAAAAAAAAAUUUGCGAUUAAAUUGGUAUGUUAUUUUAUCCGGACUAAGAUAUUAAUAUUAUAAAAAAAUAUCUAAAAAUUGUGAAAUAGCUAUUAUUUGUUAAUAAAAAUAUAAAUAAAUCGUUACUAUUUUAUAUGUAUUUUUGUGAAUGUUUUGUGAUUAUAGUGACUUUGUUGAUUUUUAUCUGGUUUAAAUUAUUUAUUUGCUUAAAGACUAGUAAUAUAGUGUCCUUUUAGGGUAGUAAAAUGUAAUGCCUUUUAGCAUAGUAAAUGUAGUGUCUUUUAGCAUAGUAAAAUGUAGUGCCUUUUAGCGUAUUUUUCCUGUAGUAUAAGUAUCUCUUACACUCAAAAUUACGUCAAGAUAACGGAUAGAUCAAACAAACUAUGUCCAAUUAUAGUCAACAUAUAAUUGGUGCUACUGGGAUGCUAAUAUCGAGCCUGGAGACCAUAUGAAUAUUUAAUAAUUAAAUAUUGUAUAAUUACAAAAAUUAAAUUUAAUUUACAAACUAACAUAUAAAAUAUAAAACUAACAUAUAAUAAAACUAACAAAUAGAAGAAUUCACGAUAUAUUGGCGCUAGUGGGCUCCAAAUAUAGAGCCUGAAACCCAUAUGCUAAUAUUUAAUUAUAAAAAUUAAUUAUUUAAUUUACAAAUUAACAUAUAAAAUUAUAAUAAAACUAACACGUGCAAGAAUUCAGAAAAUCUUGGUGCUACUGGAUCGUAAAUAUGGAGUCUGAAACCCAUAUAUAAAUAUUUAAUUAUAACAAAUAAUUAUUUAAUUUACAAUCUAACAUGCAAAAUAAUAAAAUUAACACAUGGAAGAAAUCGGGAUAAAUUGGUGCUACUGGGCUUCAAAUAUCGAGCCUUGAACCCAUAUGUGAAUAUUUAUUUAUAAAAAUUUAUUAUUUAAUUUACAAACUAACAUAUAAAAUUAUAAAACUAACAAAUAGAAGAAUUUAGGAUAAAUUGGUGCUACUAGGCUCCAAAUAUCGAGCCUGGAACCCAUAUGUGAAUAUUUAUUUAUAAAAAUAGUUAUUUAAUUUACAAACUAACAUACAAAAUUAUAAUAAAACUAACACAUGUAAGAAUUCAGGAUAUAUGGUGCUACUGGGCUGCAAAUAUCGAGCAUGAAACCCAUGUGUGAAUUUUUAAUAAUUAAAUAUUAUAUAAUUAUAAAAUGUAAUUAUUUAAUUUUACGAACCCACAUAUGAAAUUAUAAAACUAACAUGUAAUUAAUGUUGUUUAAUUUAUAGUAGACGACAUGGAGGGGCCGCCUUUUCAUCCUAGACCUUCCAGUGAUGAGCUACUGUCUUUACAAGGCGAUCAUAGGUCCGCCCACAUAUGGGAGAGAGAGUAAGUGACCUAGACUCUUUGUGUCAUGAGAGUGGACGACAUGUGAAACUUUCUGCAUGACAGAGUUUUCCAUCACCGUGUAGUCACACGCCUGCAAGAGACGGGUUUCUAUAGGAUUUUGGAGAUCGGGCGGCUGCAGCUCGAUUGGUCUUUGGUCACAGCCCUGAUAGAGCGGUGGCGACCGGAGACGCACACAUUCCACCUGCCCGUUGGCGAGGCCACCAUCACACUACAGGACGUGGAGGUUUUAUAUGGGCUGCCGCUUGAUGGACAGCCGGUUACUCUGCUGCAUGGCAUAAGAAAGAUGACACGUGCACAGUACCUGGAUAUGCUGUAGCGGCUUACCACUUUUCGGCUAGAGGAUGAGAAUGUAUUGGCUGGGACCAGCCAGUUACCGUUGACGACUAUUCGACAAUGGUUGAAGGCAUAACAUCUUGAGAUUGAUGGCGAUACACUGGAUUUAUCAUAUUGACCUGUAUACGAGGUUGUUGUUACUCCUUAUGUUUGGAUGGGUCUUGUUCCCGAACACUUUGUGGAACCUAGUGAGCAUGAGAUUUCAUUAUCAUCUUGAGCGGCUAGAUGAUUUACCCUAGUAGAGUUGGGGCACUACUAUUCUCGGCUACUUGUAUAGGCAGAUCUGUCGGGCGAGCAUAGGCAUCUACCAUGACGUUGCUGGACUUUUUCCACUACUACAUAUGACAACAUAUCCAAAUACUCUAUUCAUUUUAACGUACCUAGUAAAAAUAUAUCUUAAAUUUUACGUCAACUUUUUAUGUUAAGUUCGGACCUUGGAGCAAAUCCUGCAACUGCAUCCACCUCUACCACAAUUAGAUCCGGAUGUACCACUUCAGUUGCUCCCUAUAGCUAUGAGGUGGGUUCUCCGGCGAGGAUAUAUGCCCGAGGACGAGGCUCGGCAUAAUCUCUCCUUAUUAAUGGAUAUAUUGGAUUUGCUAGAUGGAGCACAGGUAAAUGUAUAUAUAAGUUUACUAGUCAUAGCUUCAAACACGUAUUGCCUAUAUUGACACUUUCUAUUCUUACUUAAUAGUUCAUCGACGCCAUACAGUGACGAGUUAAUAACUGGCUCGCCCUGUUAUUUCUUGGUCGUCCGACUUAUGUGGAGAUCUUCUGUCCUGUUAUUCUGCCUUGAUAUUGUGGAGCAUCACGCCACUGAGGGGGGUAAUUUUCCAGUUUUAUUGUCCGCAACUCGUACCAACGCCGCCCAUCUGGGAGACCACACAUUACCAGCGGAUGAUCGUACCAAGGUGGACGAUGCAUUUUUGGCAUUGCUACAAGAUCAGAUAUUUACAUGGGACCAGUGAUCUGACCUGAUUCUGUCCCUCCUCCACCCCCCACUAAGUCGGCUGGAUACUGAGCAUGAUUACAUGGGCUGGUACCACAGCAUUACCUGACUUAUCGUCGAGAAUCCCAUUCAUCGAUUGGCGGAUGGUGCGUUCCAUACGCUGGGAGGCACGAGACACUUGUAUGUUAUUUGGUAUUAUUACUUAUAAUUGUCAUCUAGCGUUCUGCAAUUUAUAUUUUAUAUGUUGUAUAGUCUAUUGGCCUACAUUUAGUCCACUAGUUGGGACUGCAAAUGCGGCAGCAUGCCGACGAUCCUACGGUCGCUUUGCACGAGUAUGGCCAAGUUAUAGAGCUGGCUGCCGGACACUACAUCGAGCUAGAGAGGAAGAGCGCUUAGAGUACGUCCCUGCUUAUAUGGUGCCAGAGCACUACCAUUGAGGUAGGCCUGUCCCACGAACUAUAGGAUGAUGAGGUAGGGCUUUCCCACGAGACAGAGGUGCCCCACGAGGCAGGGCUGUCCCACGGGGUCGUUGGGGGCAGAUAUGAGGUGGUCCCUAAUAAGGGGGCAUUGAGGCACCUAUUGAUAUGUUGGAGAUGAUCUGCCGAGUGACCUCUAUCAGCCAGACGAGCGCCCCAGUAGCAUGCCGUCGUACAGCCUCCAGCUGGCAUUCACUCCAGCCGCAUUGCAGGUGAUCCCGCCAAAUCUAUUGUUGAUCACGGGAACAAGCACCACCAUUGAUGAUUGGGUGCAGAUGUUUCCAGGCCCAUCAAUUGCUGCUGAGGAUCGGCUGACUCGAGAGUGGAUGUUGGAUGCCGACUGAGUUAUGGCUCACCGGUGAUGGGUAAUGUGGAUCUUUCACAGGCGCCGCUAUGUUUUUAUUAAUAUUAAGUUUAAAUAUGUUUCUAUCUUAUCGAUUCUCCAUAAAUAACUUUAUAAUUUUCUUAUUAAGGCUUCAUCUCAGCCCGUCACACAGCAACUUUGUGCGAUGCUGAGAAGGAAGCGACGGAUGCUUAUUUUUAGGAGUCCGAUGAGACCAUGGUAAGAAAUUUGUUUUGACUUAAUAUGUAUUAUUAAUAUAUAUUUUCAUAUACUGAGCUGACUUAUUCUUUUGUAAGUUGUUGAUGGACCCACUGCCCCUUCCACCGAUCCUGCCAGCACUAAUGAUGAUCAUGAUGCAGCGCAUCCUCUAAUAAAGAGGCGAUAUGAUGAGGAUGAUCCUGAUAGCGUAGCCGAGGGGAAGGGGAUGCGCCUUAGGCUAGCAGUUGCAUUGAAGCACACAGGUUGUAUGACACAUUGAUUUUCUUUUUUUAUUGUAUUUUAUGUACUUUAUAUAAAUAUUAUUUUAUGUAAAUAAUAACAAUAAUUUUUAUGUUUACAUAAUAUCGCAUUAUGUUUUAUUUCCUUGUUUCGUCUUUAUUGGAACACUACAACACAAACACAAACAUAGAAGCUUAACAUAAUUUAAAUUUAGUACAACUAAAGAAAAUACAUGACACGGGAAACAUAAAGAUAAACUACUACACUCCACAAUCAAAUCAACCUCUAUUGGCCAUUAGCAAUGGGUACUGAAGGGAGCCCGAGCACCGGGAUACCCACUAGAAAAACCAGGCAUAGAUGAACCCUAAGUUGAUGGUGCAUGAGGAGAACUCUGAGCGGGAAGGGCGCUGAGUGAGUGGCCCUACUAAGAAUUGUGAGAACCAUGACCAGCUGAUAUACCACGGAGAACCGGACGAGCUGUCUAAGCAUGUCUGGAUGAACGACCCAUGUUGUGGUGAAAUUGAGCUCCAUAAGGAACGCUACUAAAACUACCAGAUCCCUGAGGCCUCUUGGCCUCUCUCUCUACUCUCUCCUGGCAGUGAACCGACUUUAUAUCUCGAGCAAUAUCAACAACCUCCUCAAAAGAAGCACAAGAUACCCUCUCUCUAGUUAGAAGAAUCUGGAGCUGAUAUAUGAGGCCAUCAAUAAACAUCAUGAUCCUCUACCUAUCCGUGGGAACCAACAAAAUAGCAUAACAGGCCAAUACAGAUAAUCUCAUCUCUAUAGGACUGCGGCACAUACUUCUUAAGGAAGAGAAUAGAGAACUGUUGCCAUGUAAGGGGCGCUGCACCAACCGGCCUACUCCUCUCAUAAACCUCCCACCAAGUGAAGGCAUAUCUAGAUAAUUGAAAAGUAGUGAAUGAAACCCCACCGAUCUCUAAAAUACCUGACGUAUGGAGGAUCGUCUUAUACUUAUCCAAGAAACCCUAGGCAUCCUCACCCUCUGUACCGCUGAGAGUCGAAGUUUGAAGUCUACCAAACCUCUCCAAUCUACGCUGCUCAUCAUCAGGCAUGACUAGAGCCACAUAGUCCUUGGCAACUACAACCGGUUGGGCUAGUGGUACCCCCAGUGUGUGAAGCCCAUAUACUACCUACUUAGGUGUGUAGGCAAUGUGAGUCUGAGCNNNNNNNNNNNNNNNNNNNNNNNNNNNNNNNNNNNNNNNNNNNNNNNNNNNNNNNNNNNNNNNNNNNNNNNNNNNNNNNNNNNNNNNNNNNNNNNNNNNNNNNNNNNNAGAAGUAGUUGUUACAACCGGAACAGAGACCGACUGAGCAAGGCUUGUGUACACGGUCAAAAUCUGAGCUAGGACCUCAUAAAGGCAUGGGAUAACAAUAGGCACGGUUGGUGCCUGAACUGGUCUUGCUGGUACAUCUACAAUUGGAAACGGAUCCUGAACUGGGGCAGCUGGCCGGUCUGCAGAUAUCGCCCUAGUUGCUGAGCAGACCGCACCCCUGCCCAUGCCCCUACCAUGGCCUCUAUCGUGACCCCGACCUCUCGCGGCCCCAAUUGGCAGUAUUGGUGGCUAUAUGUCUUGACCGGUAGCAUGUGUCCUUAUCAUUUGUGAGUGAAUGGAAUAAUAGAAUUUUAGUUACGAGAAUCAAUAGAUCGGCACGAUAAGAAUUCAAGAAUUCAAAGUUUCCUAAGGCUUAUGCAGCCUCUCAAAGAUAAGCACAAACAUUUCCAUACAUAUCUGCAAGACUCUACUAAACCCGCUCAUGACUUAUGAGACAUAUGUUACCUAGGCCCUGAUACCAAAUUAUCACGACCCAAAACCAGACCCGUCAUGAUGGUGCCUAUCAUGGAACUUGGCCAACCUCAACUCAAUAAUCCAACACCACAAUAGUAUUCUUUUUAAAUAAUAAACACAGAAGUGGCAAUUAAUUAAGGAACAUUUUUGAAACGGAGUAAAAUCCAAAUUUUGAUACAACUUCCCAAAAUCGGGGUGCCAUUGAGGUCAUAAGCGUCUAGAGGAGAACACGGCCUAUUACAAUGUUUAGAGAAAAUAUACUGAAAUAUAUCUAGAUAUAAAGAAAGAGAUUCAAGGCUUGCGGACGACGUGCAGAUACCUCAAUAGGCUCUUAAGCCUGCAGCCUCGAUCAGUGACUGCCACUAGGACCAAAAGUGCAUGGAUCUGUACACAAGGUGUAGGGAGUAACGUGAGUAUACUAUCUCAGUAAGUAAGGGGUCCAAACUAUGGACUGAAAGAUAGGAACAAUCUCAACCUCAAAAGAUAUAAUAAAGUCAACGUACAUAGGCAUUUUUAAGUUAAAUAGAUAACUUAAAGAGGUAAGGUAAAUAGAUAUCUGAACAGUUUAGGAUAUAUAACUCAGCUACCUCUACAAGCCAAUGCACCGACUGUAUGAAAUGAAUAAUGUACUCUCACUCUCAAGUGUUCAACUACUCGGUACUGAAUAUGGCCAUCCUACCCAGGGAAAUCCAUCCCGUAACAUAUACAACACUGAUUGUAAGUCACUCAGUACCGAGGAAAAAGGGAAAUCCAACCUUGUGGAGAAAUCCAUCUCCAAGUAUAUAAAAAUACUCAGCCACUCGGUACCGUAUAUGGCCAUCCGGCGAAACAUACUCAUCACUGACUAUAAGUCACCCAGUACCAUGGAAAAAAGGUAAUCCAACCCUUUGGAGAAAUCCAUCUCCAGAUAUCAAUACUUCGGACAAAUCCAUGUCCAGGGAAAUCCAUCCCUCAAUAAUAUCAUCAGCUCUCACUAGAGGUGUGCAAACCCCAGAAGAGUGUUGAUACCUAAUUUUUUUCUAUAUUUUUAAUAUACAAAAUACUUUCAAAAUAGCAUAUGCAUGCAUAUAUAAGUAUAUCCAAAUAUUUUAUUAUUUUUUUCUUAAUUUUUAAAGAUUUUUAAAUCGAUUUAUUGCCUUAUUUUAUCCAUAAAAACUCAAUAAUAAUUUCCAAAAUUGUUACUUUUGAUGAUUCAUUUAUUGGAUUCUCAUAUUUAUGCCAAAAUAUAGCUAAGAGAGUUUUUUCACAUUUUUACAAAUUUAUUUAGUAUUUUUAAGCUAAAUUGCAUAUAAUUACAAUAUUAGCCUCUUCUAAGAUUUAACUGAGUUUAUAUUUGUUAAAACUUAACCAAGUAUUUUUUGUGAUUGAUAAUUAUAAGUUAUAAAUCAUUUUUUUGCUUUUAAUUUGUUUUCAAAAAUUAAUUUGCUAUUUUGUACAAAGGAAAACUGGCUAUUUAAAAUCUAGCCUAAUUGCAUUUCAAUUACAGCCUGAAUUGGACCCCCAAUUUAAACCCAAUUUUACCCCGAUCCAAUUUCCAUUCAAACCCAAACCACUACCCUUUUAAAUGACGCACAUGGAUUCUCGUUUAAUCAACGGCUCACAUUAACCCUUUCCUAAAUUAAUUUCCAACUACACCAAAACCCUAGUCCUUUUUUACCUACAGUAGCCCUUGAAUUCCCAUCUCUCUCAAUUUUCUCUGAGACUCCAUCAAACCCUAGCCGCCGCCAUCAAACUACAACCCUAAAUCCAUGGCUUCCAAGAUCAUCGGAGACCUGUAUCAACCCUCAUGGCUUCUAUGUGUUUGAUUCUUAUAUCUCAAGGCUAGAUCUUGAAAGAGUAUGGUCCAGACCAUGUUCGAUUUUAGUUCUUGGUUGUUCUUUUGUCGUCUCUGACCUUUUACCAUCCAACCAUGGCUAGUCAAGUCACACUUUGACUCUCCGGCUUAGAUCGAUGGUUUUCAAGGCCUUUCUCAUCACUUGGGUUUCUUCUGAAACCCUAACCUCUAAAGGUUCUUUCGAUUUAUCUUAGAUCUGCUUUAGAUCUAUGUUUGUUCUGGACUUCUAAGCAUUUUGCUUGAAGUUUCUUUUAAAACUUUGCUUCAAAACCAUUUAUCUUUUUUGAUUAGGAUUUCUGUUAAGUUAUUUCAAAAGUUUCUCUGAUUUUUCUUGACAUUUCUUGCUAUGUCUACUCAUAUCGUUCUUCUACUUAAGUUUGUAUGUUAAAUCCCUAAUUUCUUUUGACUGUUUAUUAGAUGAAUAUUUGUUUUCCUGAGCUUUAUCUAAUUUGUUUGUUUAUCCAUCUUUAAAAUUCUUCUAUUGUUGAAAACCCUAUGGCUUUGAGUCUGAGACUGUUAGUUUAAGUGCAUCACUCGAUUUGAAGUUCUUUAUUUCGAAACAUUUUGCUCCUUUAUGUGAUUCUUCUGAUUCUGAGUUUCUAUCAUAUCUAAAACUUGAUUAUGUUCGAAACCCUAAAAGGGGUUUUCCUCAUCAGCUACUGUGAGAUUUUCGCAUGCUUUUGAUAUUCUAUGUUUCUUCACUAUUGAUUCAACUGAUCAUCAUGCUUCGAGUGUUGCUAUCUAUUGAAUUUUCUUUUUGUGCUACUAUUGCAUGCUAUUUCCUCUUGCCAACAGGCUAUGUUGAGUCUCCUUUUUUUGAUUGAUUUUCAAACUUGUGACUAAUUUCAAACUUUUUCUUUGUGAAAUUCUGAUUUCACUUGACUGUUAAAGUUAACUUAUUAUUUUCAUGUUUUGUCUUACUGAAUCCUUUCCAAAAUUAGAGUAUCCCUAAACCUAGACUUGAUUGCUAGCUAAAUAUCUUACUACUUCUCUUAUAGCAACUGUCAGCCUGUUGACAAAUUAAUUUCUUUUCUUGUUUUAAACCUGUCAAUGCCCGUUAAGCAAGUGCUCCCUUAAUUAAAGGGAAUCACUUGUAUAAUUGAUUCUGAGCCGUGAAUGUUUUCAUGUUUGUGAGUUAUUACCCCUCUCUUACUCGCUUUAAAAAAACUAUAAAUACCUUGUACUUCUUCUCUUUCAUACACGAACACAAGGUAUAAACACUUGAGUUCAAACACACACUACACUAAAGCUCUCUCUCUCUCUCUCUUCUCUACUAUUACUAUAUUGUUGCCUUACCUAACCGGCUGAAAGCCAAGGCUAGACUGUGGGGAAACUUGCUUAGUUUCUACAUUUGCAUUUCUUACUGGUAUGUUCUAAUUAAGUUUUCUACACCAACAACAACAUGUUUAUUUACUAUUUCUUGCAUUCUUGUCUGCCUACUGAUUGCAUUUAACCUAGUACCAUUAUUUAGAAUGCUACAAUUUUCCUUCUUCUGUUAUGAAUCAAUGUAUUAUGACCUGCGAAUCCUAAAUCCUUACCCCAAUGUGUUUGAUACUUGUGGUUGGUUUGGGACAUGACAAUAUUGUACAUUGUUGUGCAUGACCCAAACUUGAUCAUCUUAUGAUCAUAACCUCCAUGUUUCUCUUAUAUGUUAAGUGUUCUGGUUGAUUUACAAGCAUGGAAGCACUUCCUAUUGUUGCACAUGCCCAAAGUCAACCUAUCCAUAAGUGUGAAAGCUCCUUGCAAUGGAUUCCCAGUUUCCUGCCCCCUUUUGUGUGAAGUUAUUGACUCCCUGAAGUGUUAAUGGUUAUCCUCAUCACCCUUACCCUAUCCUUUAUUCCCUCAGAUCUUAAAACUCUGUUUCUGCGCUGUCACUCUCUUCUUAGACUUAAGUUCGGUCCCCUUCAUGUGAGCCUUGCCUUUGGACCGAUGAGUUCCCUCUGAACUUGGACACAUGAGGGUUGGCAUUUCCUCAUUGCACUCAUCUCUAUUCUAGUUACGUAACUUGGGUGUGACCACUGCCCGGGGUCCUAUUGAGGCCCCUAAGAAACUCUUGCACACCCAGGUCUGAGAAAGGAUUUGAAAUUAAUGGCAUUGGCAAUGAUACGGUUCCUUGCAUAUCUCAUAUACGAAGUCAAAUCAGUAUUUCCUAUGGUUGUAUCUUUUUUCUUUCAUUCUUUCUGAUGUAAUUCGGUAUUCCUAGUUUGUAAUAAUCUCUAAUGUACAUUUGGGGAUGGCUAGUGAAAAGGGUUGGGUGAUCAUGUGUGCUCAAGGGUAGAAAACCUACCUAUAGGACUAUUUAAAUUCUUUGUGUUCAAUUCUGCAUACUUUUUAGACACCAUGUCUAUAGGGUUUAUCUCAAUUUCUUCAUGGUCAAUGUCACACCUAGAUAACAUGCUUAUAGGACGUAUUUAAAAUAUGCAUGCCAUUUCAACAUCAUGCUUUAAGUUCUAAACGGUUAAAAAAUAAGUGUGAUAAAUCAGUAAGACAUAGAAAUCAUGCCUAUAGGAGUUCUUAAGUAAAUCUCAUUCAUUCCAUUCACACUCAAUGUUAGAUAUCAUGAUCGUAGGGUUUAAAUGAGCAAUAGUAAAUACAAUCACUUGCAGAAUUUGAAAUUGGUUUGUUUUAAAGUCAGUCUAUUCUGAAUCAUUUUUAAACAUUCUAAUUCCCUUACUUAACGAGGUUUAACAUGAAUGCCUACAGGACUUCAAAAAAUUCAUUUUUAUUGUUUCAUUGCAUUCUGAAUUAAGUAGAUAUCUUGCCUAUAGGACUCCGCCUAAACAAUUAAGCAAGUCAUAGGUAAUAACAACAAUAAAAUUGAAUGCGCCUCUGUUAAUUGGUGAUUGCUCCAACCAACAGGCAGACCUAAUUUGAGCUUCUUAUAUGAGGUAUCUGAUGAAUCUGGCUCUGAAUAAAACUUCCCUCGUCUUCAGUAUUUCAAUCAGUCCUAAAAAUUAUGUGUAAGUCAUGCUAGUACGUGAUUUUGUUCAAGGGGGUGUAUUUGAGCCUUUAUUAAUUUAUAUGCUUCCUUAACCUUCAGUAUGUGUUUUGUAUGUCGCCUUAGAUUUUUGUCCUUUGAAACCAAUCAGCCUAAUAUCCCUUCCCUUUAGGAAUAGUAGUCCUAAGUGCCUCCGGGACUGAUAGGAACGUGACGGGUAAUAGCAUGCAAUAGUAAUUGAGACCAAUCCGUGCUUUAGUACCUUAAACGGAGUGGGAAAUGGUAUAUAUGGAUAUGAUGACCGGUGCAUUAAUACUACUUGUAGCCUCUCUCUUGAGGAGUGAUUAUCGGGCAUUGCAUUGAUGUGAUCCAUAUUAUAAAUAAACCUAGGACAUCGUUUCCCUUUAUUUAAAAACUCUUAUUUUUUACUCUUCUUUCAAUUGUUCUUUAUAAUCAUGUGUGUAAAUCCCCUAAUAUUUGAGCCCAUACGUGUUUAUUUGCUAAACUCACAAUAAUUGUCUGGCCCAGAAACACACUAGUGGAUCUUGAGGGGUGCCUAACACCUUCUCCUUGGGAUAAUUUCAAGCCCUUAUCCAAUCUCUGGUUAUCCAGGCAAACUUAGAAUUGAAUCUCUAUUGAUGUCCUAAUGCACCUUAACUCAUUAGGUGGCAACUCUUUAAAUGCUAAACUCAGUUUCCAAAAGGAAUGAGUUCUCUUACACCAAAUGUCAUGAACCGAUUUCCAUAGAGGAAAAUGGGUCUCAACAAGGGGCUCCUACGGCCCAAGCGCUAUCACAAUUAAUAUAAUUGUUGCGGCAUGCAGCCCGAUCCCAUAAAUGUCACUCAUAAUUAGGCUCUCGGCCUCACUCAGUAAUCACUCUCCAGUCUCACCCAUGGGCUAAAAAUGUCAUGGAAACUAGCCUGAAACAAUGAUAUUCUAUGACAAUAAUAACAACUCAGAAUGAGAUAUGAUAUGAAAUACAUGAAUAUACUGAGUACAAUAACAGUGAAAUCAGUGAGGUAACAACAAGAAACGACCAUUAAGGGUCCCAACUGUAUGGCGUGAAGCCCUAACAUGAUAUCUAGUAUUUGUAGCUCAAUCACUUUAUCACAUAAUAGAAACACGGAUAUCAACAAGAAAGAAUCAUUAAACGGUGGCAUGGAAUGAACCAGGUCAGGAUUUUCGCGGUGCACGCCCGCACGCCCGUCACUUGGCAUGUGCGUCACCUUAAUACUAACCACAUAACACGUAGUUCGGGGUUUUAAACCCUCAAAACCAAGUUUGAAAGCAUUACUUACCUCAAACCGAGCAAAAUCCUACUUCAUAAUGCCCUUCCCUCUCAACUUGGCUUCCGAUCGCCCCGAAUCUAGCCACAAGCAAUACAAUACGAUCAAUAUAGAUAGACUAUAUGAAUCAAUUCCACAAGAAAAGUACCAGUUCAUUGAAAAAAUCUGAAAUUGGCUCAAACCCGGCCCUCAAGCCCUCGUCUCGAAAUUUGAUAAAAGUUACGAAACCCGAGAGCUCAUUCACUCACUAGUCUAAUACCAAAUUUAUCAAAAUCCGGCCUCAUUUGGUCACUCAAAACCCCAAAGUCCACUCUCCAAUUCUCAAGUCCGGAUCCCCAAAUUUCACCUCAACACCACACAAUCUAGGUGAGGAAAACAAUUGGGAAACAAGAUUUAUGAUUAAAAAAAUGAAUACAAGAUUCUUACCUCUAAAAUCCCCACUAAAAUCCUCUCCAAAACUGCCUAAGCCCGAGUCUAAAAUGUUGAAAUAAGACUAAAAUCGCGAACCCUUGUUUUUAAAUAUCUCGCCCAGAUUUUUCGCACCUGCGGCUCAUUUACUUUAUCUCCAGAAUAGCUUUUGCGGACAAAGUUCUGCUUCUGCAGAAAUCAUUAAAAAUCUAGCCUUCCCUUCAGCUUCAGAUAGUCGCAUUUGUGAUCAUCGCAGAUGCUCAAAUACCAUGGCACUUGUGUUCUAAACACGCACAUGUUCCCCAUAAUCCGCUUCUGCAACCAUCACAAGUGCGGGAAUUUCAUUGCACAUGUGCCUUCUGUCUAGCUCCUCCAAUCUCUCAUGCAAUGAGACAUACGCAUGUGCGAUUAUGACAGCUGAGUUCAACUUCAGCAAUCUUCCAAUUUCUAACUUGUUCCGUUAAACACCCGAAAUCAACCCGAGGCCCUCAGGACCUCAACCAAAAAUAGCAACAUACCCCACAAUAUCAUACGAACUUAGUCCAAUCAUCAAAUCACCUCGAACAACACCAAAAAUACGAAUACACAGGAUUCAAGCCUAAUGAACUUCAAAACUUCCAAAUUCUACAAACAAUGCCAAAACCUAUCAAAUCACAUCCGAAUGACAUCAAAUUUUGCACACAAGAUCAGAAAUGACACCACAAACCUACUUCAACUUUCGAAAAUCUAAUCUAGCCCCGAUAUUUCUACUUCCAAUCAUAAUAGCCAAAAUUUCAAUUUCGCCAAUUCAAGCCUAAUUUUAUUACGACCUCCAAAUCACAUUCCGGAUGCGCUCCUAAGUCCAAAAUCACCUAAUGGAGCUAACGAAACCAUCAAAAUUCAAAUCCGGGGUCGUUUAAACGUAAGUUAAUAUCCUGUCAACUCUUCCUACUUAAACCUUCUCACAAGAGACUAAAUGUCUCAACUCACCCCAAAAUCACUCUGAACCCGAACCAACUAACCCAGUAAGUCAAAAUACAACUAAAGAACACAAAAAAAAGUAGGAAAUGAGAAAAUCGGACUAUAACUCUCAAAACGACCGGCUGAGUCGUCACAGGCAAUAAGUAAUUUGACACACAGACGAUAAGACCCUUCCCAUAGCCCCAACAUUCGUAUUAGUUUGUGCUUGCCCGUACUGAGCACGAACCUACUAUGCACUUGCCCGUACUGAACACGUGCCCAAUAUAUAAGGCUUAUAGUGCAAAGAAAAGUCAUAGAGGGGGCAAGAACAAAAUUAUACGACACAAGUUCUACGAAAUGUUAGUACUCUAUAUGAUACAAAUAAAAAACACUGAAUCUCUUUUUUAUCUACUACAUCCUAAAAAUGGAAAAUUAAUAGCCGAAAACAAAAAAUAAAAUCAUGUUUACUUCCACUCGUGGCAAAAGUUCAAGAAUCUUAAAAGUGAGUUCAUCAAUCUAAUUGGUCAACCUCCAAUCUUGAUUUUUCUAACUCAUAUUAUAGGCCGAUUAAUUAAUAGAAGUUUUUUGAAGUGGUGGGAACGUAACAUUAUCGAGCUACAUAUGUAUUCUUUAAUUUCCCUACUUUAAUUAGUAGUGAACUAGGAGUGAGAUUACCAUACUAAUCCAAAAGAUUAGUUCAAGAAAAGAACAAGUUUAACUAAAAAUCUCUUAACCGAAAGUUACUUGCUAUUAAAGGCCCAAUUAAUUACCUUAAUAGGACCAAAGUUAAAAAAGAAAAAAAGACAAAAGAAAAUGACCAAAAGAGGGGACCCCCCAAAGUGUGAGUUGUUCAUCCUCUGCCUUGUACGCCUCAAAGCGUAAGCCACAUGAUAAUAGGACCUUAUGAUUGUGCUAACGAUCUAAAUUUUAAAUAACAGAGUAACUGAUAUUAAAAAACUGGAAGGUGUUAAGUAAAAUUGAUAUUGAAAAUAAAGCAAAACUCACAAAUAGAAGAAGGUUUGAGCAGGGGCGGAUUUAGCCUUGAAACUAUGGGUUUAUGUAAAUUCAGUAGUUUUUGUCAAAAUUUUAUAUUUGUAUUAUAUAUAUAUAUAUAUAUAUAUAUAUAUAUAUAUAUAAAAAUAUGCUAUUGGUUCAAUGCCAACUUCAAAACGUAUAAAUUUUCUCAAAAUUUAAAACUUAUUAAAAUUUUAAUGAAUUCCUUAGUACAUAUAUCGUAUCUAGGCCUAAAUUAUUAUUUUCUGUUGAACCCAUAGCUCACACUGUGGAUCCGUCCCUGAUUCUUUUUCCCUAACAAAUUGGAAAUGUAGCGCAGAAUAGUUUUAAGGCUUCGGAAGCCAACUUAUCUGGAAAAUAUUUUGAGAUAAAGGAUGAUAAAUAAUGAGAACGUUUGGAAUUAUAAAAAUUAAAGGACGAGUUUUUUCUCCACAAUGAAGUAUUUGUUGUCCUUGAUAAUUCUAUUAAAAUAAUUAAAAUAAAUCAAGAAGAUCCAUUAUUUUGUUAGCACUUGACCAUUAAGAAAGAAAAUCUAAGAUUAUUAUGUUAUACACUAUCUCUACUAAUGCCAAAUAAAAUUAAAAAAUAGUAGCAAAGGAAUUACAUGCAAGUAAAUAUGCAGAUUUGUAUGUAUGAUUAUUCUAAAGAAACAAAACAAAAGGUAUCAACGUAGUGGUCUCCAAAAAUCUAAAGGGUAAGAAGAAAAAAAACAUCUUUUAAUAAAAUAUUUUUAUUAUAUCUCAAAAGAUGAAUUGCUUAACUUUUUGAAGAUAGUAGACAAUGAUCUUUCAGAAUAUAACAAGCCUAUUAUUUUUUCCCAUGAAAAACGUAUAAUUCAAAGGGAAAUAAUGUUCUUAUACAGAAAAUAUUAUUUUCUUCGGUCCAUAGUACGUGAUUUUUUAAUCUUUGGCACACACCUUAAGAAAAUAUGAACUCUUAGAGAAAAAAACAUAUACACACUAAAUUACCCUUAAUUAAUUGUUACCUUGACACAUCGGGAUAUAAAAAUGGCAAAUUUUUGAGAAAAAUAGAAUUAAUUCGUUCUCGAUUAUGUGAAAGAACAUUUAUUUUGAACCAAAAUAAAAAGGUCAAAAGGUCACUAAUUAUAAACCAAAUAAUAAUUAUAAUUUUUUUGUUAAAAUUGUAGCUAUUCAGAUUAGAUCACUCCAAUCUUUUAGACAUUUCCUUUAUUAUUAUUAUUGUUAUUAUUACUAGUAUAAAAAUUGAUAUGUGGAAUCAUUUUAAUUUUAAGCUUUGUUGAAGCAUAGCUGAAAUAUGGCUUUACAACACCAUUUGCAGGAUCAUCUUCAGAAGUCCCAAGUAACAAGUAAUUGCUCUUGAAGCCUUCUUAUUAUGUCACGUUUUAAUAUUACCAACUAUAGAACAUAAAUAACAUAUAACAAUAACAUUUACGCUCUAAUUUCAAACGCAUUAAUACAAUGAUUGUGUAGUUAGUUUGUAGUACAGUUGUUCUUUUAUAGUGGAUGAAUUCAUGUAUUUACACGGAUGUAUUUGAGGUCGUGUUGUACUAGGAUAUUCUCGUACACUCGAGCUCUUAGAAUGUAAAAUUUUGGGUUGUUACGGUAAUAUUCAUAUUUUAUUACCAAAAAAAAAAAUCUCAAACAAAUUAAAAUCAAAAUUAUAAAUUCUCACUGAAAAUAACAUGUACCAAAAAAUGAUAAUCGAAUACACACAAACUGAUCCAAAUACGAGUACAAUUAUAUGUAGUGAGCUUUUAACUUUGAUAUUUCACGGUUUUGCAUGAACUUGCAAGCUACGCAUCAUUCAACGUCGCACUUUCGUUACUCUUUUGACUUAAAUGACUCCUCUUGUAUAUUUAGUGUAACACCCCCCCCCCCNNNNNNNNNNNNNNNNNNNNNNNNNNNNNNNNNNNNNNNNNNNNNNNNNNNNNNNNNNNNNNNNNNNNNNNNNNNNNNNNNNNNNNNNNNNNNNNNNNNNNNNNNNNNNNNNNNNNNNNNNNNNNNNNCCCCCCCCAAACCAAAUUACAACCACUUUUCUUUUUCCCUGUUUUUACUUGCUUAUCGUUUAGUUGGUAAUUUUCUUUUCUUUAGCUUGUAUAAAUACAUACGGAAAGCACUAGUUUUCUCUUAGAUAAUUUAGCAUGCAAAAAAGAAAAAGAUCAUUCAAAAGAUUAUAGUCAUAAACGACAUAGAGAAACAAAUAUUCUACAAUGAAGUACUACUAUAUCAACUUCUUUCUCUGCUUUUGAGAUCCUUCUUAUGUCCUUUCAAGAUUUUGGGGUUAGUUGUUUUUUGCUCUUUAAUUUCCUCUUUUCUUAUGUCGUUUCAUGAUUUUACAACUUUUUCUGUUUUCUGUUUUGUUUAAAUUCAGUGCUUUUGAAGCUGUGAACGAGCAGCAAAAAUAGAAAACAGAGAAGUACUUAAGCAAUGGAGAAAUUUUCUGGGCUUAGCCACCUAUUUAUGACAGUAUUUCUGAGUUGCUUCUCUACAUUUAUGGUGAUUCCACCUAUGACUGAUAUCACUUUAUCAGCCAUUUGUCCAGGCAAAGAUGAAUGCUCCCUUGCUAUUUACCUCACUGGAAUUCAACAAGCGGUAACAUUUCCUCCUCCAUUACUGUAACAUGUCGAUCCCCCAUUUGUGUCGAUAUAACUGUUUGUGACUUGUCGGGAUGGUUAGAGUUGUGUAUGAAGGGAUUCAUACGCAUUUUGAAACUUUCAGAUACAGUUAUGUUGCCAGAGGUUCUGUGCUCGCAAUUCCUCCAUUCUUACGUAUUACUUGCGUACUAUUUUAGAAUAAUGGAUUUCCUUCACUCUUAAUCAGAAGUUUGAUAUCCGAGUCACUAAAUAAAGAAUCUUUCUCCUUUUAAUAGAAUUAUUCUAUGCGAAUCAAGAUUAGUUGAACCGGUAGUUUAGAUAUUCGAUAUCUAAAGGAAAAAAAAUGGUUUUAUCUCCUCCUUUUCCUUUUUAUUAACAUUACUUUAAUUUUUUGAGUUGUAAUGGUACACAAUACGUAUAGCCAUUUCAAGAAAAAGUGGAAAUUUUUGCUUUUAUCAUCCAUGUGACUGUAGUUAUCUACUCUUUCUACUUUUUUCUUCACAUAGUAAUGGCUUAUUGCUUCCUUUUUCCCCACCCUAUAUUAUCCCAUCAAAAUGACAUUUAUUCAUUGCUUAUCUCACAAUCAACUCACCUUGCUUUAGAGUCUCUUUUACGGAUAUUAUCAACGUACUCGUGUCAUUUGUGAAUUGUCUAAAUUAAUUAAUUGACCCAUAAUUGUAUUUUUGUUAUUACUACUAUAUUUAGAAUAUUUCUACCAUAUUAUCUAUCUUAUUUUACACUUACUUUGUAUGAAUUUUUUUUUAGCUGACCUAAUAGUAUAAACUUCGUUUAAAUUACUAUCAACACAUAAAAGUUAUACUCUAUAUAAAAUCUAUCAAUUACAAUAAUAACUAUAACAAGAAAUUUUUAUCAUAUAUAGUAUUUUAUCACUACAACAACAUAUGUGCUCUAGUUUGAUAAAAGAAAAUAAUAAAGUGAUAUAAAUUCUAAUACAUUCACAAGUUAAUAUACAACAACAACAACAACCCAGUAUAAUCCCACUGAGGUAGAGAGGUUGUUUUCAAAUAGACCCCCGGCAUCCUUCCCUCCAAGAACUUCCCACCUUGUUCUUGGGGAGACUCGAACUCACAACCUCUCGGUUGGAAGUGGGGGUUGCUUACUAUCAGAGCAACCCCUCUUGUCUUCACAAGUUAAUAUACUACAUUAUUUUCUUGUUAAUUCCAUUAGCCCGUCCAGAAUUAGUGAAAAUGGCAUGAAAAUAAAUGUUCAAUAAGAAACUAAAAUUAACAACUCGAAUAAAACAUGAAAAAAAAGUGGAUGCUUUCAAUUCCUUAGCUAGAUAAAGAAUCUAAGUACAUCACUAGUAUAUGCCGGUGGAAAAUAUUAUUUUAUGUAUCAUAUAACUUACAUUAAUUAGUUGUAUGAUAUAAAUUUUUUGUCUCAUAAUUUUGUACACUCAAAAUUAUAAAAUUGAGAUUCAUAAAUUUACGAGACAAAAAGAAGUUUUACGCAAUUAAUAUUAGCUGUGUAAGACACAAUAAAACUUCUCAUGGCUGUGUAUGAAUUUAGUCUCCACGCCUACGGUACGAUAAUAAUCCAUUGCAUAUUACAUUUUUGGGCCACUUUAUAUAGGAAGUUUCCUCGUCUAAGUCUUCUUCAUUGGUUCUUUAAGAAACUUCCUUC